ensembl:lncRNA
ACUUAACUUUCUUUAAUGUUAUAAAAUGAAGAAAAGGUAAAAGACAUCCCAAAGUAGAACAAUAAGAUAAUGUAGCUAUGUUAUACACUGCACCUAUAACUAUUUACAGUUCACUUCUCUAAUGAGAUUGCAAGGCAACUGCAAAAUCAACUGUUUUUUUUAUUUCGGUUGUGGAGCAUUCAACUCCUUCAUUUUGCACAUAUCAAGGUUUUGCCUGGUAGAAUGGCCUUCUUGAAACUGCAUAUCAUCCUGUGCUGUAAGCUGUUUCUAUUUGGCUACCUGUUCCUUAAUUUUCCUACUUUUGUCAUGUUUGGUUAGCCAUUCCCAAUUCCACCACUUGUUCCUUGCUACUCUUUCCCUAAUCACUGAUAGCUCAUUGAAGUGUUCUGAUUACUGUGGUUUUACUAAUAGAUUCUGUUAUUUCAGCUCUUAGAAUACAAACUGAGUGUUGACACUGCCUCAUACAAACUGCUAAGUGUUGACACAACCUUACUAUAUGCAUUAUCCCACUAUGACUUACUGGAAACUCAAACACAGUAUCUCACUUUUCUUUUUUACUAGUCCAUACCUUUGCAUCUGCAGAGUCAUUGCUUAAGGCAAGUAUUUAUCUGAUAAACAGAGUAGUGAGUUGGCCGUGAUUUUCCUAUUCUCUUCCAGCUUCACACUACUUUUCUGGUUAGCUGUAGACUAUUUCUUCAAUAAAUACCAAAUAUAAUGAGUGAGCAUGUGUUUUAAAAGGUCACAUUUUCUUUUAUCUCCUUUUCUGUAAAUCAGAUACUUGUACAGCAGAGUCCUCAGUCUCUCAUGUUCCCUGAAAAUCUCCUGAAAUUUCCUUUUGGCAUCCAGCUUUCAGGUUCAGAUGAGAAUACGGGGUCACCCCUCUGCAUCAGUAGAGUUACAAUAAUGCAUAAAAGAGAAUGAACCAAGUCUCUAAUCCCUAAACACAUUUUGGGCCAUCUGAGUGUGGAAUCUCUUAAUCUGCCUCUCUCUUUUUAUUAUAUGUUCUGUGCAAAAUUCUGAAGGCAUCUGUUACAAAAAUAGGGUUCCACCCAGUAAAAGUUAGAAAGAGGAAAACAGCUUCAGAAUAAAUUACAAAGACACCAGACCUACUUCACUAUCUGAAUUCCUCAUUAAUCUCAACAUAAUCAAUAGAAAGAAAUCUUUUACUAAUAAUAUAAGUAGACAUAGUCAAAAUAUAAAAAGGUGAUCACAGAAAGGAGUUCACUUCAAAUGGUUGAAACAAUAAAGGAAUAAAAAUCUUUAUUGUAGGAAGAUUAAGUAUGGUGAUUCACUGGUGCAUCUGACUGGCCAUAACAUAACAUAUUGUGGACAGAUGGUAAUAUUAGUCAGUUUAAGAAUAACGGAAUUCAGUAGCACAGCACCACCACUCUUCUUUAACAACUCUGUUUUCAAAUAGCAUUAGUAAAAAUACCCUAGCCAUAUGGUUAUCACAAAAUAUCAGUCUGUCAUCCCACUGACAGUCAGCACAUCUUGGUCUGAAUAUACGUAGUACUGUUUGCUGAGGAAACACUCAUUUUUGAAGGUCAUUAGCUUUCAGCUCCAAAUUAGUGUUGCCUGGGCUAUUAUGGGAAAAUUAUAUUUGCCUUCCUGGAAAAAUAAUAAGCACUUACUUUUCAUGCCAUUCAAUAAAAAUCUGUACAAGUCUCAUUACUGUUAUGAUGUACCACAGACUUGUCACAUAAACAUAUUUGGUACUCCCUUUCCAAGUACCCCAAAUCUUUAAUGGAUUCAGAUAUUUACAGUUCAUCACAAAGAAAUAAAUGCCCUGAAAAUUAGAGUUAUCUGCUGAGUAGCAUACAUCUGGCUGUUUUACAUGUGCUGUAUCCACAACACUGCUGGCUGAAUGUACCUUUUGUUUUUCCUUUCUUUCUCAAUAAAAA